AUUGAACGCUGGCGGCAGGCCUAACACAUGCAAGUCGAGCGGAUGAAGUGAGCUUGCUCCUGGUUUCAGCGGCGGACGGGUGAGUAAUGCCUAGGAAUCUGCCUGGUAGUGGGGGAUAACUUCCGGAAACGGGCGCUAAUACCGCAUACGUCCUGAGGGCGAAAGUUGGGGAUCUUCUGACCUCACGCUAUCAGAUGAUCCUAGGUCGGAUUAGCUAGUUGGUGGGGUAAAGGCCUACCAAGGCGACGAUCCGUAACUGGUCUGAGAGGAUGAUCAGUCACAAUGGAACUGAAACGCGGUCCAGACUGCUACGGGAGGGAGCAGAGGGUAAGAUUGGACAAUGGGCGGAAGCCUGGUCCAGGCAGGCCGCGUGUGUGAAGAAGGGCUUCGGAGUUGAAAGCACUGGAAGUUGGGAGAAAGGGCAGUAAGUUAAGAACUUGCUGGGUUGACGUUACCAACAGAAUAAGCACCGGCUAACUUCGUG
rnacentral:rRNA from 1 species